rnacentral:rRNA from 1 species
GAUGAACGCUGGCGGCGUGCCUAAUACAUGCAAGUCGAGCGAACUGAUUAGAAGCUUGCUUCUAUGACGUUAGCGGCGGACGGGUGAGUAACACGUGGGUAACCUGCCUGUAAGACUGGGAUAACUUCGGGAAACCGAAGCUAAUACCGGAUAGGAUCUUCUCCUUCAUGGGAGAUGAUUGAAAGAUGGUUUCGGCUAUCACUUACAGAUGGGCCCGCGGUGCAUUAGCUAGUUGGUGAGGUAACGGCUCACCAAGGCAACGAUGCAUAGCCGAGCUGGGAGGGUGCGCGGCCCAACUGGGACUGAGACACGGCACAGACUCCUACGGGAGGCAGCAGUAGGGAAUCUUACGCAAUGGACGAAAGUCUGACGGAGCAACGCCGCGUGAGUGAUGAAGGCUUUCGGGUCGUAAAACUCUGUUGUUAGGGAAGAACAAGUACAAGAGUAACUGCUUGUACCUUGACGGUACCUAACCAGAAAGCCACGGCUAACUACGUGCCAGCCGCCGCCGUAACAC